rnacentral:rRNA from 1 species
UCUUGCGCAAUGGGCGAAAGCCUGACGCAGCGACGCCGCGUGAGUGAUGAAGGCCUUCGGGUUGUAAAGCUCUGUGGGGAGGGAAGAAUAAGUUCAAGCUAAUACCUUGAGCGAUGACGGUACCUCCUUAGCAAGCACCGGCUAACUCUGUGCCAGCAGCCGCGGUAAUACAGAGGGUGCAAACGUUGUUCGGAAUUACUGGGCGUAAAGCGCGUGUAGGCGGCUUCGAAAGUCGGAUGUGAAAUCCCGCGGCUCAACCGUGGAAGUGCACUCGAUACUGCGAAGCUAGAGUCCUGGAGAGGAAGGUGGAAUGCUUGGUGUAGAGGUGAAACUCGUAGAUAUCAAGCGGAACACCGGUGGCGAAGGCGGCCUUCUGGACAGUGACUGACGCUGAGACGCGAAAGCGUGGGGAGCAAAC